rnacentral:rRNA from 1 species
GACGAACGCUGGCGGCGUGCUUAAUACAUGCAAGUCGAACGGACAGGCCAUGCUUUUGUGUCGUGCUCGUUUGGCGAAGGGGUGUGUAACACGCGUGUAUCCUGCACCUGACUUUGGGGUAACUUUAGGAGACUGGGGCUAUUACCGGAUAUGAUAUUCUGCAGCAUGGGGGGGGAAGGUAAAUUUCGGCGGUUGGGGAAGGACUAGAGGCUUCUCAGCUUGUUGGUGGGGUAGUUGCUUACCAAGGCUUUGACGGGUACCGGGCCUGAGCGGGUGACCAGCCACAUUAGGCCUGUACGACGGCCCAGACUCCUACGUGAGGCAGCAGUGGGGAAUAUUGCACGAUGGGCGGAAGCCUGAUGCAUCAACGCCGCGUGCUGGAAGACCGCCGUCGGGUUGGAAGCCGAUUUCGCUUGGGACGAAGCGUGAGUGACGGUAAUGGGUAAAAAAGCACCGGCGAACUACGUG